rnacentral:rRNA from 1 species
AGCGGCGAGCGAAGCGGGAAGAGCUCAAAUUUAUAAUCUGGCACCUUCGGUGUCCGAGUUGUAAUCUCUAGAAAUGUUUUCCGCGUUGGACCGCACACAAGUCUGUUGGAAUACAGCGGCAUAGUGGUGAGACCCCCGUAUAUGGUGCGGACGCCCAGCGCUUUGUGAUACAUUUUCGAAGAGUCGAGUUGUUUGGGAAUGCAGCUCAAAUUGGGUGGUAAAUUCCAUCUAAAGCUAAAUAUUGGCGAGAGACCGAUAGCGAACAAGUACCGUGAGGGAAAGAUGAAAAGCACUUUGGAAAGAGAGUUAACAGUACGUGAAAUUGUUGGAAGGGAAACGCUUGAAGUCAGACUUGCUUGCCGAGCAAUCGGUUUGCAGGCCAGCAUCAGUUUUCCGGGAUGGAUAAUGGUAGAGAGAAGGUAGCAGUUUCGGCUGUGUUAUAGCUCUCUGCUGGAUACAUCUUGGGGGACUGAGGAACGCAGUGUGCCUUUGGCGGGGGUUUCGACCUCUUCACACUUAGGAUGCUGGUGGAAUGGCUUUAAACGACCCGU